UCUUCCCCUCCUCCUCACCUUCCCCUUGUUCUCUCUGUAGUUUUAAUUUUAGGUAUUGUAUCAUCAGUUUCUUACUGUUCAUAGAAAAUGUAAAUCAUAUCCUGGUGGAUGUGUCUGUGCAGUUGCAUAUUUAGCAGUGUAUUCCACUCGUGACAUUUAGGGGAAUCUACAAAUUUCAGUAAAGCCAUGGUAUUUUCAGUGCCUUUUCAAGUGUAGUGUACUCCCUCCUAGUGUUCACGCAGAGAAGUAAAGGUCCCAGAUCGGCCAGUGAUAUACGCGCAUUGCAGGUAGUAUAGUGUACUCGUGGGUGACGUUUCGCAGAAAGGAACCCCCCAAGCCCGAGCUCCUGAAAGCUGCCCCGACUUCUAACGUCUAAGCCGCUGUUGCUGUUGUUUGGACGCACGGCAUUCUCCACAGUGGCGAAAGAUCCAUUAUGAAAGAGGUUUUAUGUGCUCAUCCGUGAUUACGUCCCUGUUUUGCUGGGGCAUGAUGUUGCUCAUGUUAUGGGUUUGUCUUUUUGUUUUUUGUUUUUUUUGUUACAUGUUGUGAGUAUUACAACUAAUUGAAAAGAAAAGAAAAAAUUAUUGCACUUUGAUCAGUGGAGGUUUUUGAUAGUGUUGUUUCUCAUAAGCCUAUAGUCAUUGAUGUACGUCUGUAUUACUACUUUUUUCAGUUAAAAGAUCUUUAUUUUAUUUUAUUUAUUUAUUAUUAUUAUUUUUUUCUUUCUAAGAAAUUGAUUUUGGAAUUUUUCGUAAAUAAUAGCCAUUUGACAAACCUGAGAACUUCAAAAUAACAAGUUUUAUAGAGUAUUAUAGACUAUUCCUUCGGCCGGUGUGUGCACGUGAGGCUGAGAAUCCGAGUGGGCAUCUGCAGACGUCAGGGCAUUAUCCCUCUUUGGUACUUGCCUCCCUUAUAGACUGAUUUCAACUUAUCGACAGAGGGAGGACUCUUAAGAUUGAAAAUACAAUAGCACGAUGUAUGAAAAUUAGGAAUGUAUGAUAUGUGACCUUUUACACAGACUUCAAUCUUUCUUUGGUGUCUUUUUGAUUGGGUGUUCUUUGCACUGAAGAUCAGGGUUAUGUGAAAGUCAUAGUGUUAUGGUGCGACAGUCAGGUUCUACCUGAUUUUCGAAAACAUGUACAUUACUUGAAAUUGAAAUUGUUUCCCAGUGGUUAGAUUAUAGAAAAUAUUUGAUAUAUGGAAAGGUAAAUCUUUCUGAGAUGUAGGCUUACAGUGUAUUUAGUUAUGAAGACAAGUAUUGUUGUUGCAUGGCAUUGAAAAAAACAAAACAAAAAUCAGAAGCUACAAUAGAAGUGAGUGCAUACAACUGGUGUCUCUAGUAUUUUCAUUAUGAUGCUGUCAUAAUUCUACUUAGCCAGAAAAUUGUCAUGGAUUUUAUUAAAAAGUAAAUGUUUUGAAUAGUACCAAGUAUACUGCACAUUGA